CCCCGGCUGUAGUUUGCAGGUGCACGGUUGAUCCUAAAUGGGAAGAAUGCUGAAGACAUCCAUUGGUGCUUUAUUCAUGUUCUUUUAUCUGCAGCUGGACUGGGUCAGCGGUGGUGACAAUGUGGAUCAGAGUCCUCCCACCCUGAGUGUCCAGGAGGGAAACAGCUGUGCCAUGAACUGUUCUUAUUCAAACAGUGCCUUAGACUACUUUCCUUGGUAUAAGCAAGAAGCUGGAAAAGGUCCCCAGUUUAUUAUACACAUUCGUUCAAAUCAGGACAAAACCGAAGAUGGAAGAUUCACUGUUUCAUUGAAUAAGGCAACCAAACAGCUCUCCCUGCACAUCGAGGCCACCCAACCUGGAGACUCAGCUGUCUACUUCUGCGCAGCGAGUACACAUUGCUUCUCAGGCACCUGCAACCUGUACGCAAACCUGUGGGAGGAGCCACCGCUCUCCUUUGGGACAAUCUUGAAGCAUAGAUAG